GUAUCUGGUUCUUGAUACUGUAUUGUCUUAUUGAGCUCAUCUCUAAUCUCUUCAAGAUGCUGUUGGACAAUCUCCUGUGAUCAGAACCAUGUAAGGAAUCAGGCAGUGUGACGUCAUCUAGAGUAUCAUCUACAGGGAGCGCCAUGGACUGGUGUGUGGAGAUAGUAUCAUUAUCAUUAAGGAAGUGGUGGGCUGUUACUUGCUGCUGUCAGUGCUGUGGCAAUUAAUUCAUCUCUCCAAGAAUCAGAAUCAAUCAGCUUGUGAAGUUCGAAUACCCACGUCAGGAUCUCUGUUGUAUUUCCCUGUCCAGUGGCUCUGAUCUGCAACACAUUGUAAAUGACAUUAUUUUAUUAAAUUAAAUAUACCAAAGCAAUGAUCAACAAUUAUAUAAUUACUACCCUAAAAUAUUAUACAUCAUGAUAUAGGAGAUGCACCUUUAUUUUAUAAUAUGUACAGUACUGUAUAUAUCAAGAGAAGAGACAGGAAGG